rnacentral:rRNA from 1 species
UACGUAGGGCGCAAGCGUUAUCCGGAAUUAUUGGGCGUAAAGAGCUCGUAGGCGGUUUGGUAAGUCGGGUGUGAAAUCUCCACGCUCAACGUGGAGGGGCCACUCGAUACUGCCAUGACUCGAGUCCGGUAGAGGAGUGUGGAAUUCCCGGUGUAGCGGUGAAAUGCGCAGAUAUCAGGAAGAACACCCGUGGCUAAGGCGGCUCUCUAGUACGGUACUGACGCUGAGACGCGAAAGCGUGGGGAGCGAACAGG